rnacentral:ncRNA from 1 species
AUCGCGAGGUACAGACGAGAGGAAGGGAUAGCGAAAUUACAGCCAGACGAACAGAAAUCUGAUACGAAGGCGCAUACGGCGGUUAAGUGGGCUACACGUCACGAAGUCCAAAAGGAAACCGUAAUCCGUAAGCGUUAGUAAUCAUAUGAAAGUA